UGCCACCUCCGCAGCUGAGACAAGAGAGAGGAGGGAUCCAUCUCCCUCCAACGCCGAGGUCACGGCUGUUGAGCCAUAGCCAAGUAUUUGUCUUCAUUUUCUACCUCUUCUGCAGCGAUAAAAUGGAACCAGAAAGGGCCCACGUGCCCACUGACACAGAAGAACAACGGGCAGGGUUGUACCACUUCUGCUGUGCUCUGCAGGGGUAAUUCCUGUGAAUUCCUGUCGCCCACAGGAACCAGACCAACAGUGUCCAUCGCAGACACAGAUCUUGUGGCAGAUGGAAUCUGUAAGAGACAGUACAGUCUACAUCUAUCUGUAAAGCUGAGGAACUCGAAGGUGG
rnacentral:lncRNA from 1 species